UACGUAGGGUGCAAGCGUUGUCCGGAAUUAUUGGGCGUAAAGAGCUCGUAGGCGGCUUGUCGCGUCGGCUGUGAAAACUCGGGGCUCAACCCCGAGCCUGCAGUCGAUACGGGCAGGCUGGAGUCCGGCAGGGGAGACUGGAAUUCCUGGUGUAGCGGUGAAAUGCGUAGAUAUCGGGAGGAACAUCAGUGGCGAAGGCGGCUGCCUGGCCCAAUACUGACACUCAGGUGCGACAGCGUGGGGAGCAAACAGG
rnacentral:rRNA from 1 species